GAAGAAAGGCACCCCGUAAAAGUUGGUAUCAGAGCUGCGGCUCACGACCCUCGAUAAGAAAGCUAUGGAUUCAAUUACAUCCUACACCACUGAAGUGGUAGAGUCUCAAAAGAAGGGUACUACUAAACAGCGCGUAGAUGCGCUUGAUGAGACAAUUACUAGGUUGUGCUAUACUUUGGAAGGUCUCGAGGAAAAAGUCAAGAUGGUCGAAUUCGAGAUUCGUGGAUUACACAUCCAAUUGGAUGAAAGCCAAAGGGCUUACGCAGCAAUGACUGAAACUGCUGCAAUCAUUCCUGAUCUGCAAGAUGAAAUAGAAGCGUUGAGAGCUCAAUUGCGGGUUCUCCAACGUGCAGUGGGCAAUGGCAAGCUCCUGUACCUGAGUAUGCUCCUAGACUCAAAAUUCCUGAACCAUGUACCUACGAAGGGGCACGUAAUGCAAAAGAAGUCGAAAACUUCUUGUUUGAUAUGGAACAGUACUUUCUCGUAGCUUCGAUCGAAGACGAAGCUAGAAAGGUAACCACAGCUACCAUGUAUCUGGAUGGAGAUGCAAAACUAUGGUGGCGAACCAAAUAUGCUGACAUUCAGGCCCACAGGGUUCGAAUAGAUUCUUGGGAUCUCCUCAAGGAAGCGAUCAGAUCGCAGUUUUUCUCGGAAAAUGUCGAGUAUCAGGCUCGACGAGCACUUCGAGACCUGAAACACACGAGUUGUAUCAAGGAGUAUGUGAAAUCCUUCUCAGGGCAUAUGCUGAAUUUUCGAGAUAUGUCGGAAAAGGAUAAGCUAUUCACCUUUAUGGAAGGGUUGAAACCGUG
rnacentral:lncRNA from 1 species